rnacentral:rRNA from 1 species
GAGUUUGAACCUGGCUCAGGACGAACGCUGGCGGCGUGCCUAAUACAUGCAAGUCGAGCGGACAGAUGGGAGCUUGCUCCCUGAUGUUAGCGGCGGACGGGUGAGUAACACGUGGGUAACCUGCCUGUAAGACUGGGAUAACUCCGGGAAACCGGGGCUAAUACCGGAUGCUUGUUUGAACCGCAUGGUUCAAACAUAAAAGGUGGCUUCGGCUACCACUUACAGAUGGACCCGCGGCGCAUUAGCUAGUUGGUGAGGUAAUGGCUCACCAAGGCGACGAUGCGUAGCCGACCUGAGAGGGUGAUCGGCCACACUGGGACUGAGACACGGCCCAGACUCCUACGGGAGGCAGCAGUAGGGAAUCUUCCGCAAUGGACGAAAGUCUGACGGAGCAACGCCGCGUGAGUGAUGAAGGUUUUCGGAUCGUAAAGCUCUGUUGUUAGGGAAGAACAAGUACCGUUCGAAUAGGGCGGUACCUUGACGGUACCUAACCAGAAAGCCACGGCUAACUACGUGCCAGCAGCCGCGGUAAUACGUAGGUGGCAAGCGUUGUCCGGAAUUAUUGGGCGUAAAGGGCUCGCAGGCGGUUUCUUAAGUCUGAUGUGAAAGCCCCCGGCUCAACCGGGGAGGGUCACUGGAAACUGGGGAACUUGAGUGCAGA